rnacentral:rRNA from 1 species
AGAGAUGCAUUGGGUUUAAAGCGCAGGCGGUUUUGUAAGACAGAGGUGAAAUCCCCGGGCUCAACCUGGGAACUGCCUUUGUGACUGCAAGGCUGGAGUGCGGCAGAGGGGGAUGGAAUUCCGCGUGUAGCAGUGAAAUGCGUAGAUAUGCGGAGGAACACCGAUGGCGAAGGCAAUCCCCUGGGCCUGCACUGACGCUCAUGCACGAAAGCGUGGGGAGCAAACA